rnacentral:rRNA from 1 species
UAAUUGAAGAGUUUGAUCAUGGCUCAGAUUGAACGCUGGCGGCAGGCCUAACACAUGCAAGUCGAGCGGCAGCACAGAGGAACUUGUUCCUUGGGUGGCGAGCGGCG